UACGUAGGGGGCGAGCGUUGUCCGGAUUUAUUGGGCGUAAAGAGCUCGUAGGCGGCUUGGCAAGUCGGGUGUGAAACCUCCAGGCUCAACCUGGAGACGCCACUCGAUGACUGCUAUGGCUAGAGUCCGGUAGGGGACCACGGAAUUCCUGGUGUAGCGGUGAAAUGCGCAGAUAUCAGGAGGAACACCGGUGGCGAAGGCGGUGGUCUGGGCCGGCACUGACGCUGAGGAGCGAAAGCGUGGGUAGCAAACAGG
rnacentral:rRNA from 1 species